CGGUAGAUGCACCCUGGUUGAAGCCCUGGCUAUUGAGUCUAGGGCUUUUUUAU
rnacentral:sRNA from 1 species